AAAUCCGGCGCACAUAUACCGAGGCCAAUGAUCGAGCCAGCUUGCUGGUGAAGUGACUGAACGAGGUUCCAGGAAAAGCCACUAAGCUUCAGCUACACACGACCGUACCGCAAACCGACACUGGUGCGCGAGAUGAGUAUUCUAAGGCGCUUGAGAGAACUCAGGAGAAGGAACUCGGCAAAUUGACACCGUAACUUCGGAAGAAGGUGUGCCCUAUUAGUGUGAAGUGAACAACGGAGCAUGAAUGGGUUGCAAAAAAUCGGUGGCUGCGACUGUUUAUUAAAAACACAGCACUCUGCAAACACGAAAGUGGACGUAUAGGGUGUGACGCCUGCCCGGUGCUGGAAGAUUAAAUGAUGGGGUGCAAGCUCUUGAUUGAAGUCCCAGUAAACGGCGGCCGUAACUAUAACGGUCCUAAGGUAGCGAAAUUCCUUGUCGGGUAAGUUCCGACCUGCACGAAUGGCGUAACGAUGGCCACACUGUCUCCUCCUGAGACUCAGCGAAGUUGAAAUGUUUGUGAUGAUGCAAUCUCCCCGCGGAAAGACGGAAAGACCCCAUGAACCUUUACUGUAGCUUUGUAUUGGACUUUGAACAGAUCUGUGUAGGAUAGGUGGGAGGCUUUGAAGCAGGGUCGCUAGAUCUUGUGGAGCCAACGUUGAAAUACCACCCUGGUGUGUUUGAGGUUCUAACCUAGGUCCAUUAUCUGGAUCGGGGACAGUGCAUGGUAGGCAGUUUGACUGGGGCGGUCUCCUCCCAAAGCGUAACGGAGGAGUUCGAAGGUACGCUAGUUACGGUCGGACAUCGUGACGAUAGUGCAAUGGCAUAAGCGUGCUUAACUGCGAGACUGACAAGUCGAGCAGAUGCGAAAGCAGGACAUAGUGAUCCGGUGGUUCUGUAUGGAAGGGCCAUCGCUCAACGGAUAAAAGGUACUCUGGGGAUAACAGGCUGAUACCGCCCAAGAGUUCAUAUCGACGGCGGUGUUUGGCACCUCGAUGUCGGCUCAUCUCAUCCUGGGGCUGUAGCCGGUCCCAAGGGUAUGGCUGUUCGCCAUUUAAAGAGGUACGUGAGCUGGGUUUAAAACGUCGUGAGACAGUUUGGUCCCUAUCUUCCGUGGGCGCUGCAGAUUUGAGGAAGCCUGCUCCUAGUACGAGAGGACCGGAGUGGACACACCUCUGGUGUAUCGGUUGUCACGCCAGUGGCAUUGCCGAGUAGCUAAGUGUGGAAGAGAUAACCGCUGAAAGCAUCUAAGCGGGAAACUCGUUUCAAGAUGAGAUCUGCCGGGGCCUUGAGCCCCCUAAAGAGUCGUUCAAGACCAGGACGUUGAUAGGUCAGGUGUGGAAGCGCAGUAAUGCGUUAAGCUAACUGAUACUAAUUGCUCGUGCGGCUUGACCCC
rnacentral:rRNA from 1 species